GCAUUUAUUAUGUAGAGGAACUGCAGCAUAUUUGGGAUACUGCAGAUAACUUGGAAUACUUCGAUAUCUAAAUAAAUAUAAACGCCAUCUGUGUUUUUAUGCGCUAAAAAUAAUGUCAUACGACACACAAAGCCAAAAAAUACUAAAAACUAGACGCCAUCUUGACAUUCCGGCUACCAGCCUCAAGUGAACGAGACGUCUGCUUUGAAAACUUUUUCGGAGAACGCAUACACAACGAAAAAAGUCAGAUAAA